AGGAGACGAAGAGCUUUGCCACACAAGGGUUCACGGGUUUGUGUUUAAAUCCCAAGUCCACUUCUCUCCUCAUUUCCUCUCUUCCUCAUCUUCUUCCCAAAUCCCAAUGUUUCUUUGACCCCCGAACUCCAAAAAAUCCUUCUAUCCCAACUACCAAAUCUUCAUUCUUUUCUUUUUCCCACUCUUAGUGUCGACGAUCGAAGAUGCCAUGUUUGGUAAUUACAUCGGAUUCCACAACUUCUGUUGUUUCUCCAAAUGAGCACACAUCUGGCGAUGCACCGAUUGUGACAUGUAAGGGAGAAGGAUCACAGACAGG